rnacentral:rRNA from 1 species
GAAUUCGGGUUUGAUUUCGGAGAGGGAGCCUGAGAAAUGGCUACCACAUCCAAGGAAGGCAGCAGGCGCGUAAAUUACCCAAUCCUAACAUAGGGAGGUAGUGACAACAAAUAACAAUGUGGAGCUUUUUAAGUUCUGCAAUUGGAAUGAGUGACAAUUAAAAUUCGUUUACAAAAGCUAGUAGUGGGCAAGUAUGGUGCCAGCAGCCGCGGUAAUACCAUCAUUACAAGCGUAUAUUAAAAUUGUUGCAUUUAAAAAGCUCGUAGUUGAAUAAUAGAUAGAAGAAAUGUGCGGCAACUGCCAAGCUGAUCUUUCUAUCUUUUGUUCUAUAGCAAUAUAGAACCAUUUACUGUGAAAAAAUUAGAGUGUUUAAAGCAAAUUGUAUGAUAUUGAAUAUUAUUAGCAUGGAAUAAUAAUAUAUGAUUAUGAUUAUAUAUUAUGGUAGUAUAAUCGUAAUAAUGA